GGUCCUGUAGCUCAGAGGCAGAGCAUCGCCCUCAUAAGGCGCAGGUCGCCGGAUCGUGACCGGCCAGGACCACCA
rnacentral:tRNA from 1 species